UCAAACUUGGUCAUUUAGAGGAAGUAAAAGUCGUAACAAGGUUUUCGUAGGUGAACCUGCGGAAGGAUCAUUACAGAGUUGCGACUCCUUCGGGAGCCAUCUCCACCCCUUGAUUACCAGACACUGUUGCUUUGGCGGGCCGUGGUCCUGCUGCCACCGGCCCCGGCUGGUGAGCGCCCGCCAGAGGCUUUUAAAUUCUUGCUUGCAAUGAGUCUGAGCGAAACAAAAAAUGCGAAAAACUUUCAACAACGGAUCUCUUGGUUCUGGCAUCGAUGAAGAACGCAGC
rnacentral:misc_RNA from 1 species